rnacentral:rRNA from 1 species
CUUUACACUGCACGACAGUGCGAUAGGGGGAUUCCGAGUGCGAGGGCAUACAGUCCUCGCUUUUCUGGACCGUAAGGAGGUCCAAGAAUAAGGGCUGGGCAAGACCGGUGCCAGCCGCCGCGGUAAUACCGGCAGCCCGAGUGAUGGCCGAUAUUAUUGGGCCUAAAGCGUUCGUAGCCGGCCAGACAAGUCUGUUGGGAAAUCCACGCGCUCAACGCGUGGGCGUCCAGCGGAAACUGUCUGGCUUGGGGCCGGAGGACUCGAGGGGUACGUCCGGGGUAGGAGUGAAAUCCCGUAAUCCUGGACGGACCACCGGUGGCGAAAGCGCCUCGAGAGGACGGACCCGACGGUGAGGAACGAAAGCCAGGGUCUCGAACCGGAUUAGAUACCCGGGUAGUCCUGGCCGUAAACGAUGUCUGCUAGGUGUGGCACAGGCUACGAGCCUGUGCUGUGCCGCAGGGAAGCCGUGAAGCAGACCGCCUGGA